AACGAACGCUGGCGGCAGGCCUAACACAUGCAAGUCGAACGCGAAAGUCCUUCGGGCGAGUAGAGUGGCGGACGGGUGAGUAACGCGUGGGAAUCUACCCUAGAGCGGGGGACAACCCGGGGAAACCCGGGCUAAUACCGCAUACGUCCUACGGGAGAAAGAGGGCCUCUGCUUGCAAGCUCUCACUCCAGGAUGAGCCCACGUCCGAUUAGCUAGUUGGUAGGGUAAAGGCCUACCAAGGCCACGAUCGGUAGCUGGUCUGAGAGGAUGAUCAGCCACACUGGGACUGAGACACGGCCCAGACUCCUACGGGAGGCAGCAGUGGGGAAUAUUGGACAAUGGGCGCAAGCCUGAUCCAGCAAUGCCGCGUGUGUGAAGAAGGCCUGCGGGUUGUAAAGCACUUUCAGUGGGGAAGAACAGGUUCGGGUCAAUACCCGGAGCCUGACGUUACCACAGAAGAAGCACC
rnacentral:rRNA from 1 species